rnacentral:rRNA from 1 species
GACGAACCGUGCGAACGUUGUUCGGAAUCACUGGGCUUAAAGGGCGCGUAGGCGGGUGACCAAGUCAGGGGUGAAAUCUUUCGGCCUAACCGGAAAAGUGCCUCUGAUACUGGUCGUCUUGAGGGAGGUAGGGGUCGAGGGAACUGGUGGUGGAGCGGUGAAAUGCGUAGAUAUCACUAGGAACGCCGGUGGCGAAAGCGCUCGACUGGACCUCUUCUGACGCUGAGGCGCGAAAGCCAGGGGAGCAAACGGG